UAAUACGUAGGAGGCAAGUGUUAUCCGGAUUUACUGGGCGUAAAGAGGGCGCGGGUGGUUCUUCAAGUCGGAUGUAAAAUCUCCCGGCUUAACUGGGAGGAGCCAUGCGAUACUGUGGAACUUGAGGGCAACAGAGGGAGGUGGAAUUCCCGGUGUAGUGGUGAAAUGCGUAGAUAUCGGGAGGAACACCAGUGGCGAAGGCGGCCUCCUGGGUUGUUCCUGACACUGAGGCCCGAAAGCGUGGGGAGCGAACAGGAUUAGAUACCCUGGUAGUCCACGCUGUAAACGAUGGACACUAGGUAUGGGGAGUAUCGACCCUCUCCGUGCCGUAGCUAACGUGUUAAGUGUCCCGCCUGGGGACUACAGCCGCAAGGCUA
rnacentral:rRNA from 1 species